rnacentral:rRNA from 1 species
ACUCAAAUGAAUUGACGGGGACCCGCACAAGCGGUGGAGCGUGUUGUUUAAUUCGAUGGUAAACGAAGAACCUUACCCAGGUUUGACAUCCUUGGAAUUUUGCCGAAAGGCGAGAGUGCUUUAUUGAGCCAAGUGACAGGUGUUGCAUGGCCGUCGUCAGCUCGUGUCGUGAGAUGUUUGGUUAAGUCCAUCAACGAGCGCAACCCUUAUAGUCUGUUGUAUUUUUCAGGCUAGACUGCCCCGGUAACGGGGAGGAAGGAGGGGAUGAUGUCAGGUCAGUAUUACCCUUACAUCUGGGGCUACAAACACGCUACAAUGGCCGGUACAAAGGGCAGCCAAGUCGCGAGACGGAGCAAAUCCCAUCAAAGCCGGUCCCAGUUCAGAUUGCAGGCUGAAACUCGCCUGCAUGAAGUCGGAAUCGCUAGUAACGGUAGGUCAGCUAUACUACCGUGAAUACGUUCCCGGGUCUUGUACACACCGCCCGU